rnacentral:lncRNA from 1 species
UCAAACUCAUCAUUUAGAUUCACCCAGUGUCUCUGUGAAGCCUCCAGACGUGCAGCUCACCAUAGCAGCAGAGCCUAGUGCAGAGGUGGGAACUUCUCUAGUCCACCAGGAGGCUACAGCUCGGCUCUCAGGGUCAGGUAAUGAUGUAGAACCUCCCGCCAUCCAGCACGGGGGCCCACCUCUGCUUCCAGAGUCAUCAGAAGAAGCUGGACCUUUAGCAGUUCAACAGGAGACUUCAUUUCAAUCUCCGGAACCUAUUAAUAAUGAGAACCCCUCUCCAACCCAGCAGGAGGCUGCAGCUGAGCAUCCACAGACCGCUGAGGAGGGUGAGUCUUCCCUAACCCAUCAGGAGGCCCCAGCUCAGACUCCAGAGUUCCCUAAUGUAGUUGUAGCUCAACCUCCAGAGCAUUCACACCUGACUCAAGCCACAGUUCAACCUUUGGAUCUGGGGUUUACCAUCACUCCAGAAUCCAUGACAGAGGUUGAACUUUCUCCAACCAUGAAGGAGACCCCAACUCAGCCUCCUAAGAAAGUUGUACCCCAACUUCGAGUAUAUCAAGGGGUAACAAAUCCAACACCAGGUCAGGAUCAAGCUCAGCAUCCAGUGUCACCCAGCGUUACAGUUCAACUUUUGGACCUGGGACUUACCAUCACUCCAGAACCCACUACGGAGGUUGGACAUUCUACAGCCCCGAAGAGGACUAUAGUUUCUCCAAAGCAUCCUGAGGUGACACUUCCACAUCCAGACCAGGUUCAGACUCAGCAUUCACACCUGACUCGAGCCACAGUUCAACCUUUGGACCUGGGGUUUACCAUCACUCCAAAAUCCAUGACAGAGGUUGAACCUUCUACAGCCCUGAUGACUACAGCUCCUCCUCCAGGACACCCUGAGGUGACACUUCCACCUUCAGACAAGGGUCAGGCUCAGCAUUCACACCUGACUCAAGCCACCGUUCAACCUCUGGACCUGGAGCUUACCAUAACUACAAAACCUACUACAGAGGUUAAACCAUC